rnacentral:rRNA from 1 species
UGGGGAAUUUUGGACAAUGGGGGCAACCCUGAUCCAGCAAUGCCGCGUGUGUGAAGAAGGCCUUCGGGUUGUAAAGCACUUUUGGCGGGAACGAAAUGGAGCUUGCUAAUACCAGGCUUCGAUGACGGUACUCGCAGAAUAAGCACCGGCUAACUACGUGCCAGCAGCCGCGGUAAGACGUAGGGUGCAAGCGUUAAUCGGAAUUACUGGGCGUAAAGCGUGCGCAGGCGGUUUUGUAAGACAGGCGUGAAAUCCCCGGGCUUAACCUGGGAACUGCGCUUGUGACUGCAAGACUAGAGUGUGUCAGAGGGAGGUGGAAUUCCGCGUGUAGCAGUGAAAUGCGUAGAGAUGCGGAGGAACACCGAUGGCGAAGGCAGCCUCCUGGGAUAACACUGACGCUCAUGCACGAAAGCGUGGGGAGCAAACAGG